rnacentral:rRNA from 1 species
CUGCGGAAGGAUCAUUAAUUAAUCGCGAAAUGCGUGGGGAGCCUUGUAAGUCUGCGGAGCACCUAGUCUGGACUCUUCAGCGCUGGCCCGCGCCUCCUUUUGAUUACAUCCCAUCUGUGAACUUUUCCACUGUUGCUUCCGUGAGCCUGCUGUUCACGCUCUCUGAGAGUGAAUGCCUGAAAAGCCCUGGUCCUGCCAGGGGCGCACGGCAAUGGUACUAGAACUCUGGUUUUAUGUCUUCCAAGUCUGAGUGAUAAAACACAUCAAACAAGUUAAAACUUUCAACAACGGAUCUCUUGGUUCUCGCAUCGAUGAAGAACGCAGCGAAAUGCGAUAAGUAGUGUGAAUUGCAGAAUUCAGUGAAUCAUCGAAUCUUUGAACGCACAUUGCGCCUCCUGGUAUUCCGGGAGGCAUGCCUGUUCGAGCGUCAUGAAAACAUCCUCAAGCAACCUUGCUUGGUCAUGGAGGAAGAUGGUCUAUAGAUCCUCCCCUCUGGAAUUUCUCAGCAGAGACCGCAAUAACCUCAGGUGUGAUAACAUUACCUCGCUUGAAGGUUGUGGUGAGCUCUCGCUGUGCAGAACCCCCCAGCAUUUACCAUGUUUGACCUCGGAUCAGGUAGGGAUACCCGCUGAACUUAAGCAUAUCAAUAAGCGGAGGAAAAGAAACCAACAGGGAUUGCCUUAGUAACUGCGAGUGAAGCGGCAAAAGCUCAAUUUGAAAUCUGGUACCAGUCGGUGCCCGAGUUGUAAUUUGGA